rnacentral:snoRNA from 1 species
CUGCUCACCAGGACAUGGUACUUCCCAUGUGGUCAUGACCUGCCUGCCCUUCAUGAACAGGAGAAACUGGUUCGGGGGUACCCUAAGUGGGCAUGGGAGAGCACAGUUUUCAGUACAGU